rnacentral:rRNA from 1 species
CAGCCGCCACGGUAAUACGUAGGUGGCAAGCGUUGUCCGGAAUUAUUGGGCGUAAAGGGCUCGCAGGCGGUUUCUUAAGUCUGAUGUGAAAGCCCCCGGCUCAACCGGGGAGGGUCAUUGGAAACUGGGAAACUUGAGUGCAGAAGAGGAGAGUGGAAUUCCACGUGUAGCGGUGAAAUGCGUAGAGAUGUGGAGGAACACCAGUGGCGAAGGCGACUCUCCGGUCUGUAACUGACGCUGAGGAGCGAAAGCGUGGGGAGCGAACAGGAUUAGAGACCCGCGUAGUCCCUGUCUCUUAUAC